rnacentral:rRNA from 1 species
UGUGCGAAGGUAGCAUAAUCAUUAGUCUUUUAAUUGGAGGCUUGUAUGAAUGGUUGGACAAAAAGUAAGCUGUCUCGAUUAUAAUAAUUGAACUUAACUUUUAAGUGAAAAGGCUUAAAUGUUUCAGGGGGACGAUAAGACCCUAUAAAGCUUGACAAUAACUUCGUUAUAUUAUAAAUUGUUAGUAUAACUUGAUUUUAACGGGGGUUUGUUUCGUUGGGGCGACGGGAAUAUAAUAAAUAACUGUUCUUUUAAAUAUAAUUACAAAAAUGUUUGGUAAAUAAUUGAUCCUCUAUUAGAGAUUAAAAGAUUAAGUUACUUUAGGGAUAACAGCGUAAUCUUCUUUGAGAGUCCACAUCGACAAGAAGGUUUGCGACCCCGAU